CCCUUAGAUGUUCUGGGCCGCACGCGCGCUACACUGAUGCAUGCAACGGGUUCUAUCCUUGGCCGGAAGGCCUGGGUAAUCUGUGAACGUGCAUCGUGAUAGGGAUAGAUUAUUGCAAUUAUUAAUCUUGAACGAGGAAUUCCUAGUAAACGCAAGUCAUCAGCUUGCAUUGAUUACGUCCCUGCCCUUUGUACACACCGCCCGUCGCACCUACCGAUCGAAGGUAAUGAUGAGCCCUCAGGAUUGUGGCCUCGUCGCGUCAGCGUCUUGGCUGCGAGAAUCUGUGCAAAUCCCUACCUUUAGAGGAAGGUGAAGUCGUAACA
rnacentral:rRNA from 1 species